rnacentral:rRNA from 1 species
UACGAAGGUGGCAAGCGUUGUUCGGAUUUACUGGGCGUACAGGGAGCGUAGGCGGUUGGGUAAGCCCUUCGUGAAAUCUCCGGGCCUAACCCGGAAAGUGCGGAGGGGACUGCUCGGCUAGAGGAUGGGAGAGGAGCGCGGAAUUCCCGGUGUAGCGGUGAAAUGCGUAGAGAUCGGGAGGAAGGCCGGUGGCGAAGGCGGCGCUCUGGAACAUUUCUGACGCUGAGGCUCGAAAGCGUGGGGAGCAAACAGGG